UGUCACUCUGGCAUAACCCUAGGUAACUCGGGAGGGUGGUAGACCACAAGUGUCAAUGAAGCCCUCCUGUUGUAAGCCUCAAUGAACCAAUGUUCCUCCAUGUUAAACACUUUGUGUAACCUAGUGUAACCUAAUGUACUAAUAGCUGCAAAAAUGUAAUGUCAGCAGUUAGUUUUCUGAUUGUAACACCAAGAAAUAGUUCUCAGAAAGCAACUGGGAUAUAAAAGGAGGAAGCCGCUUGUGUAGGGGGCUGGAUCUGAGGCAUGCUAAGUCUCCCAGCACCACUUUGAGAUCUCAAAUAAACUUUGCUUGCUUCUCCAUCCUGGUGUGUUUAUUGGCGCUACGCACUCUGGGCAACGAACCACUGUUGCUUGCCUCCGGCACCCUCUGUGCCUGCAACAGUUUUGGCAUCCCUGGGUGGGCGGAGGCUAAAAUUAGCCUUGCCUGGAUGCCUCCUGGAGGUCAACGGAUUGCGGUGACGACCGACGCCCAGUGCACACCGGUGGCUUCACCGGGGGCCUCAGCGGAGACGCGAUGUGAGCGACCCCAGAGGGCAUAACGGUGCAACGCGCUCGAGUAGUGGAGAAGCAGUUGAGGGUGACGGUGAGGAACCGGUCCCUUGGAUAAGGUAGGAACAGUCCAGUGGUCCGGAUUUUUGCCUGCUAGGACCUGGGGACGCCCAGUGUCACCCUAGGAUAUGAGGCAGGAACAGAGUACAGGCAGGGCACGGUGUACACCCCUAGAAUGCAUUCUAGUGAAUUGGGAAGUGCUUGGAUCAGAUCCACUAACUAAAAGCAAACUAAAAAGUUCUGUAUAGUAGACUGGCCUCAAUAUUAACUAGAGGGUCAGGAAAGGUGGCCACCGGAAGGAUCACUUAAUUAUAACACGAUCCUCCAAUCACUCCUGUUUUGUCAGCGAAUGGGUAGCUUCUGAAGCUGUUUGUAUGAAGAACUCUUGUAAAAAUACCCCACUGUAGCUCCUAUUCUUCCCCCUGUCUGGCAGAGUGCAAGGAUUCAAAAGCAGGUUAGGGAUAGUGCAGGGAGAAAGGAGGGACCUGUCUAGAAAGGGGAGACCUUAUGUCCUAGUGCACUCUCUCCCUGUUGUAGCUAAAAAGCAAGAUCAGAUGCAGAGUGGUACUGGGGGCCAGUGUGAGUGACUGUUACCGGAAGACGCCCAGAGUACCCUGUGAAGCAAAAGCUCGUGACCAGGACUACUCUAACGCAAGCCCGGUAACUAGUGGAUCUUUAGGAGAUCCGACCCAUGGUGGGCUGACUCGGCCUGGCAUCGUCCGGUGAGGAAGCUGCCUUGGUCUAGGAGUGUGUGUACCCAUUUUCCCUCCCCCUUUCCUUUCCGUGUGGGCUACUGACAGUCUGAUCAUCUCACUGGAUGCAAUCAGAGUAAGCGGCGCCGUCUCCCAGAGACUAGCCGACGCUCUUUGCUGAAGGGAGGUGUAGGAGGGUCGUGGCCAUCCUCGUUAGCCUCUCCUGUGUGAGUGCCCUGUAGGGAAAAAUCCGUAGUUUAUGAGCCGCUAGCACGGACAGGGCACCAUCCCUGUGUGUGUAAGUGGAAAAUGGGUGGGGGACAGUCUAAACAUUCCAUCUCACCGCCUAAGGGUACCCCAGCAUAUUACAUGUACGUACAUUAUGGUUCAACAACCUGCAGGUAUUUAGAGAAUUGGAAUAUUUACACGCACGAAAAUCCAUCUAAACAAUGCCCACUAGAAGGUACUUCAAUCUAGAUAAGAUCAUACAUCUAAGAGGAGCGUUUAAUCACCAAAAAGCCCUGACACAGCGUGAGCAAAUUUGUCUAUUGAGGAAAGGAACGGGUUAAUUUAAAAAUCAUCUUGGCCCAGGGAUAGAAGGGGGGGGGUUGCUCUGCGUUCAGGAUCAGGAAUUGGCGCGGACUGUGCUUGGUGCAGGGAGGGGCUGCUUUCGGCCACAGCUGGCUGUGAAGGAAAAAAUAUAGACAGAGGUGAACCAAAGGAAAUACAAGUUACAGAACUGAGAUUACAAUUGCAAAGCUUAACUGUCCAGUAAGAUCCAACGGUGUGCCUUUGUGACCCUGGAGUCGGUGUAGCUUGGUGACACCAAAGAAGCCACAGGCAGCCGACCUGGACUGGAAUCUCUGAAAGAGACGCCGCAGGAGAUUCCAGGGUGUAAGAGAACAGCCCUCCCAAGAGCAGAAGCAUGUUGGAAAUUCUGGACAAGCUGUAUACAGGAUAAUCCCCUGUCCACCUCCCCCUCUUCUCUGAACAUUAUACACAGAAGUGACCAGUCUGGACGUAUGUGUGUGAUGUGGGCGGAACUGAACCUCUCGUUCGUAAUUCCUCUGAGUGGAAGCCAUGCGUGCAAGGAAGCUCUGAGGUUGAACUGAGAUCCUUCUGUCCCGUCCCCUGUAGCGGUCAGUGUAUAGAAGUGGGAAAGUCUGGCUUAGACUGCAAUUCCCUCUGCGCUCUGGGUAAUUCUCUUUUCUGUUUAAGUGUCAGCAGACAGAUGGGUGGGUCUCUAGGUAAACUCUCUAAAGGGGUUUGGAUUAUAUGUAAAGUAAAUGGCCUUUGCCCAAUGGGCCAUGUGUUUUUGUCCAGGUGACAAGCCUCAUGAAGGAGGACUCGGGUAGUCUUGUGAGUAAGAAUGUUUAAGGGAAGAGACCAGGAGGGGUGGGGGCUAGUUAAGAAGCCCACCCUCCUAGCUAAACUGGUAGUGGAACAAGUUGGUGCCCAUGGAAGGGACGGUUCAGCAAGAAAAGCAGGAUUGGGCCCAGGCAGGCAGGCAACAGAGAGAGAGAUUGGAAAGCAGGUUGGAAAACUUUAAGGGUGUAGUGGAAGGAAGGAAUCAGUAAGUGUAAGCAUGGGGAUUUCAAAUACCCAGGACUUACUUGGAAUAGUGAUUUAAGUUGAUAAAAGUAGCUGUUGGGAGACAAGCAAGUGAUUUAAGGGAGAGUGAGAAGUUAACUCUGUAGUUGCUGGAGGAAACAGCAGUUGAACUUUGUAAAAAUGCUAAAGAAAAAAGUUCUUGGUGUCUGUGAAAUGUUUGUAAAUAAAUUCAGGCAAAGAAAUUAUUGGAUUGCAAUCAUUUGAUUUGGCUAUGAACAAUUUAGUUGAAUUAGCUGAAGAAUGUAUACAGUGUUAUGUAAUUAAAAACCUGGGCUGCCUAUGAAACAAAUACAAGAAAAUAUGGGGCAAUUCCUCUGUUUUGCCUGAAGUCAGCAAGGGUAUUUGUAUAUUUUAAGCGAUGAUUGUCUGCCUAGAAGGGUAGACCUCUGUUUUUUUUGUCUUUCAGAUAAUCAGAGAAAACUGAUGCCAGCUGAACAGCAUUCAACGUAUCAUGCAUUUACUGGCACAACAGGAAUUAUGUUUUGUGUUCUACGUCCUGUCUUGUGGUGUUUGUCUCGUGGCCAAAAUUGUUGUGUUUAAUAUUUUCAUAGGAUAGUCUAGUUAAAAUCAAAUGGAAGGGUUAAAUGCAGAUACUUGUUUUAUUCAACUUUGGAAUACAAGGUGUUUGGAUAAAUCAGGAGAAGGUGAUAUACUAAAGUCUAAUACAUUUGCUUAAGUAAGAAAAAGAAGCUUCAUUGGCCAAAUUGUUAAUUAAAGAAAUUGUUGUUAAAAUUUGCAUACCUACAGUCUUUGGAAGCAAAGACAUGAAAAGUUAACCCACUCCCCAUAUUGUACAUGGGAUCUUUCUGGCUACCUCAGAUUUCUAGCCAGAGGGCUGGGGAUGGUGGAGGCUAUUGGACUAGAGGUUGAAUUGAAUGAACUCCUCAAAGUGGGUGUUCUUGUUCUAGCUUGUUGCUCCAAAGUUCUGUAAUAAGGUUAUUUUAGUAAAAGGGUAUGUGUGGCAUAUAUUGAAUAAUAAGACUAAUGUACUGUAUAAUGACAAUGUUUAUGUCUUCAUUGUUGGGAAAAAGGUGUAUAAGUAAAAAGUGAAAGUUUCCUUUGCAGGUUAAAAGAAGCCAAGAAGGGAAGAAGGACAAAGAACAAAAUGAAUUAACUGAAAAAAAUAAAAUAAAAUAGCAAGCUCAGGCUAUAGAUAAGACACUGACUCCAUUCAAGGACACUGCUCACAGUUAAGACUUGGCUAACAACCAGGAAAAGGAGGGCUUGAAUUUGCCCACGCAGCUAUGAGAUUUGCAAAACACUGCCAGGCACUAACGAAAUGUGUUAAGUUUCUUUUCUCACAGGUAAAGAAGCGCUACCCAAAGACCCUAGCAGCCCUGCCACUCCUUGGAACCAGGAGACGGGAUUGAUGUAAAGGUCCACCAAUGAAAGACUGCUCUAGCUCCACCCUGGAAAGGCGCUUAUUAAGUCCCGCUACCUACCAACACUGCUGUGAAGUGCCAAAGACUGACUGCUUGGACCCAGGAUUCUCACUGCAAAAAGACCCCUCCACAUCGGGAGAAUUUUCCUACUGAUGAUUAGCCUAUUUCACCUUCUAGCUCAACUGUGCCUUCUGGACAGUAGGGAAAAAGUACAAGGUGAAGUGCUAGUAACCUCUCCCUUAUCAACUGACAGAUCUACUGUGCCUUUGAAUUUUUCUAGAAGAAUCAAAACCAUUACAGGGUGAUGUGCUGGUAACCUCUUCCCCCAUGGGAUGCUGCACCACGACUGUUUUGGAAAAGAAGAAGGAACACUCGCUCCACUGAAAUUGCCAAAGUCCAGGAAUUCCUGACUAGAAAGGACAUUAAGAACUGACCCUGGUGAAGAAACAAAGAAUUAUACACUGGCGGGAGGACAUUUGUGGGACCCAUGUUUGGGAAUGUGGUAUUAAUUGGAUUUUGGGGUUUAUUCUACAGGCUGCGCCCUGUGUUUUGGAUAAAUCCUUCAGCAUAUAUA